rnacentral:rRNA from 1 species
UGGGGAAUAUUGGGCAAUGGAGGCAACUCUGACCCAGCAAUGCCGCGUGAGCGAUGAAGGUAAUUUUAUUGUAAAGCUCUUUUCUUGGGAACGAAUAAAGAUGACGGUACCCAAGGAAUAAGCCCCGGCUAACUACGUGCCAGCAGCCGCGGUAAUACGUAGGGGGCGAGCGUUGUCCGGAAUGACUGGGCGUAAAGGGUGUGUAGGUGGUUUGAUAAGUUAGAUGUGUAAUACCCAGGGCUCAACUCGGGUGCUGCAUCUAAAACUGUUAGACUUGAGUACUGGAGAGGAUAGUGGAAUUCCUAGUGUAGCGGUGGAAUGCGUAGAUAUUAGGAGGAACAUCAGUGGCGAAGGCGACUAUCUGGACAGCAACUGACACUGAGGCACGAAAGCGUGGGGAGCGAACAGGAUUAGAUACC